rnacentral:rRNA from 1 species
UACAGAGGUCCCAAGCGUUUGUUCGGAUUCAUUGGGCGUAAAGGGUGCGUAGGCGGCGCGGUAAGUCGGGUGUGAAAUCUCGGAGCUUAACUCCGAAACUGCAUUCGAUACUGCCGUGCUUGAGGACUGGAGAGGAGACUGGAAUUUACGGUGUAGCGGUGAAACGCGUAGAUAUCGUAAGGAAGACCAGUGGCGAAGGCGGGUCUCUGGACAGUUCCUGACGCUGAGGCACGAAGGCCAGGGGGAGCAAACGGG